rnacentral:misc_RNA from 1 species
GUGAAUCAUCGAAUCUUUGAACGCACAUUGCGCCCUGUGGUAUUCCGCAGGGCAUGCCUGUUCGAGCGUCAUUUCAACCCUCAAGCCCUGCUUGGUGUUGGGCCCUGCCCGUUGCGGCCGGCCCUAAAGUCAGUGGCGGCGCCGUCUGGCUCUAAGCGUAGUACAUCUCUCGCUCUAGGGCCCCGCGGUGGCUUGCCAGCAACCCCAACUCCUAUGGUUGACCUCGGAUCAGGUAGGGAUACCCGCUGAACUUAAGCAUAUCAAUAAGCGGAGGA